rnacentral:lncRNA from 1 species
CGGAAGUCCAAACUUCACAAAGGAGCACACUCAGAGAUAAUAAGCAACGGCCUCGUUCAGAUACAUUUACUUCUCCAUUAUAUCCAAAUUAUCCUGCAUUCCAUCAUUAUCCGCUGCCAUUUUAUGGCUCCCACCAAGGUGAUAUUCGAUUUGCUCAACAGAACCAGUCAUCCCUGGGUCAUUCUGCACCUACAGUUUCCUAUGGUGGGAUUCAAAUCAGUGGCAGCAGCAUCACAGGAGUUCAAAUUGGAGGUGGAAACCACAUGCAUGUUGAACAAGCUUCUCGGACAAAACAUGGCA